rnacentral:rRNA from 1 species
UACAGAGGGUGCGAGCGUUAAUCGGAAUUACUGGGCGUAAAGGGCGUGUAGGCGGCCAACUAAGUCCGACGUGAAAUCCCCAGGCUUAACCUGGGAACUGCGUCGGAUACUGGAUGGCUUGAAUCCGGGAGAGGGAUGCAGAAUUCCAGGUGUAGCGGUGAAAUGCGCAGAUAUCAGGAGGAACACCGGUGGCGAAGGCGGGUCUCUGGGCCGUAACUGACGCUGAGGAGCGAAAGCGUGGGGAGCGAACAGG